CAGCCGCCGCGGUAAUACGUAGGUGGCGAGCGUUGUCCGGAAUUAUUGGGCGUAAAGCGCGCGCAGGUGGUUUAAUAAGUCUGAUGUGAAAGCCCACGGCUCAACCGUGGAGGGUCAUUGGAAACUGUUAAACUUGAGUGCAGGAGAGAAAAGUGGAAUUCCUAGUGUAGCGGUGAAAUGCGUAGAGAUUAGGAGGAACACCAGUGGCGAAGGCGGCUUUUUGGCCUGUAACUGACGCUGAGGCGCGAAAGCCAGGGGAGCGAACGGGAUUAGAUACCCCAGUAGUCCCUGUCUCUUAUAC
rnacentral:rRNA from 1 species